GGAAUGAAUUUCUAAUGGAUCUACUGUCUCCCUUGAGUUGGGGCGAACGUAGUGAAGCACCACGCUGUGUUUAUUGAUCUGGAAUCCAAGAGGAUCACCCGCCCUUGGUUGUUCCCUUCGUUUGUCAACUAGGUGACUUUUCAUGUGAUUUCUGCUUCCAAAAAUUAGAAAAUACCUUCAGAUCAAACCAGCAGAUUUGUAGAUUUCUGGGAAUUGCUGCUACUCCAUCUCCAUCUAGCCAAUGGUCUUUGGUUACUGAUUCUGAGUGAGCUCGAGAAAACACAACUACAAGCUUUCAGGUCCUAAAUGAGAAGGUAAGGAUGUACUUGAGCAGUAUGAGAAGACCCAGUUCCAUCAUCUCAGAAGCCAGAAGUUCCCCAUUUAAUAUCUUUCAUUCUGAAAUUUGUUUAAGAAGAUGGUCAUUCUUCUAUUAGCAGCACGAUUAUGUGUCAAUUGUAGAUUCUUAAUUGCUUAGAAUUAUUUUAUAUGUUUGAUUCCUUCGAUU